rnacentral:rRNA from 1 species
UACAGAGGGUGCAAGCGUUAAUCGGAAUUACUGGGCGUAAAGCGUGCGCAGUCGGUUAUUUAAGUCGGAUGUGAAAUCCCCGGGCUCAACCUGGGAAUUGCAUUCGAUACUGGAUGGCUAGAGUUCGGCAGAGGGAAGUGGAAUUUCAGGUGUAGCGGUGAAAUGCGUAGAUAUCUGAAGGAACAUCAGUGGCGAAAGCGACUUCCUGGACCAGAACUGACGAUCAGGCACGAAGGCGUGGGGAGCAAA